UUGUAAUGAUGUCUCAAAUGUCUGACCUGAAGUCAAUAUGUGGAAGUAUAAACACUGAUCUG
rnacentral:snoRNA from 1 species